GGGGGCGUUUGGUUUUGACAGCAUAGUUCUUUGAAAGUGUAAGCAUGUACUGCGUUGCGUAAUUAGCAGUUUAAUCUGAAUACGAAAACUCAAAUGGCAAUACUCAGUAUGCCAUGGCUGCCUAAUCAGUGAUCAGGUAGUCAUUAGGGCCGCCGGGCCGGUCAAUCUGUUACCAAGCCCCGCCGCCGACUCAAACCCAAAACAGGUUGCGGUAAACAGGCCUUGUAAAAAAGGCAGUCUGCGCUGUUUACCUAAGCUAAUCGCAGCUACGAAGCAAGUUGGUACGUCCGGUUCCUGCCUGCUUUCGACAAUCAAUGCCGGAAUAAACAUGUAGAAAGCUUUUGACGAAUAUGUUUGGACACCGGUUCGACUCCGGUCGCCUCCACUU
rnacentral:tmRNA from 1 species